AUACGGAGGAUGCGAGCGUUAUCCGGAUUUAUUGGGUUUAAAGGGAGCGUAGGUGGGAUAUUAAGUCAGCUGUGAAAGUUUGGGGCUCAACCUUAAAAUUGCAGUUGAUACUGGUUUCCUUGAGUACGGUACAGGUGGGCGGAAUUCGUGGUGUAGCGGUGAAAUGCUUAGAUAUCACGAAGAACUCCGAUCGCGAAGGCAGCUCACCGGGCCGGAACUGACACUGAUGCUCGAAAGUGCGGGUAUCAAACAGGAUUAGAUACCCUGGUAGUCCGCACAGUAAACGAUGAAUACUUGUUUUCGGCGAUAUAAUGUCGGAGGCAAAGCGAAAGCGAUAAGUAUUCCACCUGGGGAGUACGCCGGCAACGGUGAAACUCAAAUGAAUUGGCGGGG
rnacentral:rRNA from 1 species